GAUGAACGCUGGCGGCGUGCCUAAUACAUGCAAGUCGAGCGAACGGACGAGAAGCUUGCUUCUCUGAUGUUAGCGGCGGACGGGUGAGUAACACGUGGAUAACCUACCUAUAAGACUGGGAUAACUUCGGGAAACCGGAGCUAAUACCGGAUAAUAUUUUGAACCGCAUGGUUCAAAAGUAAAAGACGGUCUUGCUGUCACUUAUAGAUGGAUCCGCGCUGCAUUAGCUAGUUGGUAAGGUAACGGCUUACCAAGGCAACGAUGCAUAGCCGACCUGAGAGGGUGAGCGGCCACACUGGAACUGAGACACGGUCCAGACUCCUACGGGAGGCAGCAGUAGGGAAUCUUCCGCAAUGGGCGAAAGCCUGACGGAGCAACGCCGCGUGAGUGAUGAAGGUCUUCGGAUCGUAAAACUCUGUUAUUAGGGAAGAACAUAUGUGUAAGUAACUGUGCACAUCUUGACGGUACCUAAUCAGAAAGCCACGGCUAACUACGUG
rnacentral:rRNA from 1 species